GGGCCUUCGAGCGAUUGCGAGAAAGAGGGAGAGAGGGAGAGGAACCUCUGAAACCCUAAAAUCUCGAUCUCCCUGCCGCCACCAUUCAUCUCCUUGCCGCCGUCGUCUCCUCCGUCAAAGCGUUGCCGGUGCGGAGUUAUGAAUGGAGGACGAGGUGAUCGUGGAGCCUAUGAAUUCGUUGACCUCUCAAAGUGACGAUUUCAUUCAGAUUGUUGAGGUCAAGGCAAAGAAUUUGAUAUAGAUUUUGUUAAUUUGAUUUGAUAUAUUAUAAAGUCUCUCCUUCCCAAGAUUUUUGGUUCAAAGAGAACUGGGAGAAGCUCAGACGAUGAUGCUUUCACUAAGCCACACACAAGGAAGGAGAUCAAAAGGAGUUACUCUUGAUUUGGAGAAGAAGAUUGAAUCCAGAAGAAAAGCUUUAAUGGAAGUGUCUCCCUUCAUGACAAAAAAGCUUCUCAGG